rnacentral:rRNA from 1 species
GACGGGGGGGGCAAGUGUUCUUCGGAAUGACUGGGCGUAAAGGGCACGUAGACGGUGAAUCGGGUUGAAAGUGAAAGUCGCCAAAAAGUGGCGGAAUGCUCUCGAAACCAAUUCACUUGAGUGAGACAGAGGAGAGUGGAAUUUCGUGUGUAGGGGUGAAAUCCGUAGAUCUACGAAGGAACGCCAAAAGCGAAGGCAGCUCUCUGGGUCCCUACCGACGCUGGG